AUUGAACGCUGGCGGCAGGCCUAACACAUGCAAGUCGAACGAGUGGCGGACGGGUUAGUAAUGUCUGGGAAACUGCCCGAUGGAUGGGGAUAACUACUGGAAACGGUAGCUAAUACCGCAUACCAUCGGAUUUGCCCAGAUGGGAUUAGCUAGUAGGUGGGGUAACGGCUCACCUAGGCCACGCUCCCUAGCUGGUCUGAGAGGAUGACCCGACAAAUUGGAACGGUGACACGGUACAGACUCCUACGGGAGGCAGCAGUGGGGAAUAUUGCACAAUGGGCGCAAGCCUGAUGCAGCCAUGCCGCGUGUAUGAAGAAGGCCUUCGGGUUGUAAAGUACUUUCAGCGAGGAGGCGUUACGCGCAGAAGAAGCACCGGCUAACUCCGUGCCAGCAGCCGCGGUAAUAC
rnacentral:rRNA from 1 species